rnacentral:rRNA from 1 species
CCUACGGGAGGCAGCAGUGGGGAAUAUUGCACAAUGGGCGCAAGCCUGAUGCAGCGACGCCGCGUGAGGGAUGACGGCCUUCGGGUUGUAAACCUCUUUCAGUAGGGAAGAAGCGAAAGUGACGGUACCUGCAGAAGAAGCGCCGGCUAACUACGUGCCAGCAGCCGCGGUAAUACGUAGGGCGCAAGCGUUAUCCGGAAUUAUUGGGCGUAAAGAGCUCGUAGGCGGUUUGUCGCGUCUGCCGUGAAAGUCCGGGGCUCAACUCCGGAUCUGCGGUGGGUACGGGCAGACUAGAGUGAUGUAGGGGAGACUGGAAUUCCUGGUGUAGCGGUGAAAUGCGCAGAUAUCAGGAGGAACACCGAUGGCGAAGGCAGGUCUCUGGGCAUUAACUGACGCUGAGGAGCGAAAGCAUGGGGAGCGAACAGGAUUAGAUACCCUGGUAGUCCAUGCCGUAAACGUUGGGCACUAGGUGUGGAGGACAUUCCACGUUUUCCGCGCCGUAGCUAACGCAUUAAGUGCCCCGCCUGGGGAGGACGCGCGAGAACGUAACUACAAGAAGUAGAGCGUGNGAGNGCGACGGACGACGACGAGGGAGGAGG